GACGAACGCUGGCGGCGUGCUUAACACAUGCAAGUCGAACGAUGAAGAAGAGAAACGCGAACUUCGGUUCAAAUUUCACUUCGGAUUAGUGGCAGACGGGUGAGUAACGCGUGAGCAACCUACCUCUUACAAAGGGAUAGCCUCGGGAAACCGUGAUUAAUACCAUAUGACACAUUCAUAAGGCAUCUUAAGAAUGUUAAAGCUACGGCGGUAAGAGAUGGGCUCGCGUCCCAUUAGCUAGUUGGUGAGGUAACGGCCCACCAAGGCGACGAUGGGUAACCGGCCUGAGAGGGUGAACGGUCACAUUGGAACUGAGACACGGUCCAAACUCCUACGGGAGGCAGCAGUGGGGAAUAUUGCACAAUGGAGGGAACUCUGAUGCAGCGACGCCGCGUGAGCGAUGAAGGAAUUCGUUUCGUAAAGCUCUGUUCUAUGGGAAGAAAAGGACUGUACGAUAGGAGAAAGCCCCGGCUAAAUACGUG
rnacentral:rRNA from 1 species